rnacentral:lncRNA from 1 species
CGUAAGGCGGCCCGGAAGCUCCUGGCGCCUGGCAACCGGCGCGCGUCGGGCGGGCGGGGCUGCGGCAACCGGUGCGGCUCGCCGGACCGGGCGGGGCUGAGUGGCGGGCGAGCCGCGCUCCGUAAGCGGAGCGUCGCCGGGCUGCGGAGAGCCGAGCAUGUUCGCUCCGAGAGCGGAGUCCGCACGAGCGCUGGGCCGCCCUCCCUGCCCCGCUGCCGCGGCCAGGCCAAGCGGGGCGGAGGUCUCCCGCGUUGUCCCCUGCCCCCGUUGACCCCGCUGCGGGAGCCUCAGAGGGCACCACCGCCACGGCCCAAGCAUUCGAAGAAGCCCCUCUCCUCCAAGGUGGAGCUGCGGGGACAAAUCUCACUUUCAUCAGCACUGUUGGAAGAAGAAAAAAUGCCAGUCCUGUCUCCGGAAAUCAAAUUUGAUACUUCCAAUGUUACCAGAAAUUCCUUUGACAGUUGUUUUCUUUUUGAGAGUAGUUGGAGGAAAGCAGUUUUAGAAACACAAAAGAUGAAGAAAGAAUACACCUUUGGUCUAGAAGAGUUCAAAGAAUGUGUCAAGAUGCCGUAUUUACCAGGACUGCAGAGUUGCCCAAAAAGUGUAAGUUCAACUCCACUGGAAGUUCGUCAGAGACUGCGGCAGGCUGACCCCGAGAUGUGUCCAGUCAGCCAGUCUAGUGAGAACAUGUCGAGUUGCAUGCAAGUGCUUUCUUCUCCUCUGCAUAUUGCACAGUGCCCCGUGAACGAAAAACCGUGGCAUAGCAGGAUAAGGAAGAUUAAGGAGGCCCGCACUGUGGUACCACUUCAGGAGAAAACAAAGGGAUUUUUAAGGCAUUCUAAUUCUUCAAUCAACUUUGGUUCUGGCUUCAGUGAUCCUAUUGCUGGAGCAUCAUCUCAAUACUUACAGAGACUUUCCAAAAUGGCCAUAUUGGAGUAUGAUACCAUUCGUCAAGAAACUACUAGAAAAUCCAAAAAGAGCAAGAAACGAGACCUGCGAGACUGCUGAUAAGUAUCACAUCACAUGCAAUGCUUUCUUCACUGAUGUCUAAGGUUUAUAUAUAUUUUCCUUUCUUUUUCUUUUUUUGAUAUGUGGUAUGAUGUGCAAUGAUUUACAUAAAAAUGGAAAUGUAAAUAAGAAAUAAAUAUUUUAUGUAAUAUACAGAAUCAUUUG